UUAAUAACAAGGCGUGUGUGACAGCGCUGGAAGAGGUGUCACACACGUACUGCACAGGUGAGACUCAUUGAUUGUGAUUGCACAGGAGAGACUGCACAGCAAUUACCAGAUGAACAGGAUUUCUUCUCAUCAAUGGAGUCCAGAGAUCACAGCACAGGGGAGCUUGAAUCUAGGCAAAUGGGAAAGAAAAAAAAGUAAUGGAACCAUCGACUUCCCCGAGUUCCUGACCAUGAUGGCCAGAAAAAUGAAGCGAGGAGGAGAUCCGCGAGGCUUUCCGAGUAUUUGACAAGGUUCUAAAAAAGAGAAUAACAGAAAAUUGAAAAUGUACGAUUGAGUUCCCCCUGCCAGAUGAAAAAACCAAGAGGAGGAUCUUCCAGGUUCACACUGGCCGCGUGAUGGUAGUGGAUGAAGUCACCCUGGAUGACCUGAUCCUGGCUAAGGAUGACCAAUCAGGAGUGGACAUUAAGGCCAUCUGCACAGAGGCAGGCCUCAUGGCUUUGCAGGAGCGCCGUAUGAAGGUCACCAACGAGGACUUCAAAAAGUCCAAGGAGAACGUCUUGUACAAGAAGCAGGAGGGCACACCAGAGGGGCUCUACCUCUAACAUUUAAACUUUUGCUUUUCUCUCCCCCACCCCCUGAUCUGCCAUCGCUGUGUGAAAUAGAGGAGGCAGCACUUGUGUUGUCUGUCUUCCCAGAGAGUUUUGAUAUAUUUUGUGCAUGUUAUGUCUGGCUUACCCUGCUCUCUUGUUACCGUUAUGUGAUAUGACAAUAAAUAAAACAACAAUAAAGAGUUUUUUUUUCGACUGUAAA